rnacentral:rRNA from 1 species
AGGACGAACGCUGGCGGCGUGCUUAACACAUGCAAGUCGAACGGAAGUAGAAAUACUUUAGUGGCGGACGGGUGAGUAACGCGUGAGCAACCUGCCCUUAUCAGGGGACAACACAGAGAAAUUUGUGCUAAUACCGCAUAAUGUUACGGAUAGGCAUCUAACUGUAACCAAAGAAUUAUCGGAUAAGGAUGGGCUCGCGUCCCAUUAGGUAGUUGGUGAGGUAACGGCCCACCAAGCCGACGAUGGGUAGCCGAUCUGAGAGGAUGAACGGCCACAUUGGAACUGAGAGACGGUCCAGACUCCUACGGGAGGCAGCAGUGGGGAAUAUUGGGCAAUGGGCGCAAGCCUGACCCAGCAACGCCGCGUGAAUGAAGAAGGUUUUCGGAUUGUAAAGUUCUGUGAUGGGGGACGAAGAAAGUGACGGUACCCCAAUAGCAAGCUACGGCUAACUACGUGCCAGCCGCCGC